ACUGAAGCAAGUACAAGAGCUGUGCCUUUCGACUUCAAAAGCUAAAGGUGGAGCAAUUGGACAAGACAACACAGUCACUUCUGGAAGCUGCACAGGCCAUUGCCUUGUUGGAGGCGCUCCCAAAAAUGUUCCCUUACCCAACCGCCCCUCCAAGAAAAGUCGGCAAGUGAGGCACUGUACCAUGUACCAUCAUUUGUGAAUUUCAUGUGUGUGGUUUAACUUCAUUCUGCCCCCCUCCCCCAAUUUCUUGCUUUCAGCCAUCUGAGGACCCC
rnacentral:lncRNA from 1 species